rnacentral:rRNA from 1 species
GCCAGACUCCUACGGGAGGCAGCAGUGAGGAAUAUUGGUCAAUGGGCGGGAGCCUGAACCAGCCAAGCCGCGUGAGGGAUGAAGGUACAGAGUAUCGUAAACCUCUUUUGUCAGGGAACAAAGGCGGGGACGUGUCCCCGGAUGAGUGUACCUGAAGAAAAAGCAUCGGCUAACUCCGUGCCAGCAGCCGCGGUAAUACGGAGGAUGCGAGCGUUAUCCGGAUUUAUUGGGUUUAAAGGGUGCGUAGGCGGGCUGUUAAGUCAGCGGUAAAAGCCGGGGGCUCAACCCCGGCGAGCCGUUGAAACUGACGGUCUUGAGUGGGCGAGAAGUAUGCGGAAUGCGUGGUGUGGCGGUGAAAUGCAUAGAUAUCACGCAGAACUCCGAUUGCGAAGGCAGCAUACCGGCGCCCAACUGACGCUGAAGCACGAAAGCGUGGGUAUCGAACAGGAUUAGAUACCCGCGUACUA